rnacentral:rRNA from 1 species
UACAGAGGUCUCAAGCGUUGUUCGGAUUCAUUGGGCGUAAAGGGUGCGUAGGUGGCGCCGUAAGUCAGGUGUGAAAUUUCGGAGCUUAACUCCGAAACUGCAUUUGAUACUGCGGUGCUUGAGGACUGGAGAGGAGACUGGAAUUUACGGUGUAGCAGUGAAAUGCGUAGAGAUCGUAAGGAAGACCAGUGGCGAAGGCGGGUCUCUGGACGAGUUC